AAAUAGAUUUUAAUUUUAGGUUGAACUAUUAUGAGGUGAAAAUAUAUUAAAAUUUUAUUUAUAACUAAUUUAUAUAUAAACUACUGUAAGUUAUUUUUUGAAACUAAUUAUAUUUACAACUAUAUUUUUUGAGUGUUUUUAAACAUUUCGUAAAUAUAAUGUGGAGUUCAUCGGUUAUAAUUUAUAACUAGAACUUGACCCGCACCCCUGUGCGGGUGUUUGAUUUAAUUUGUCUUCAACGUAAACUCAUAAAUCGUUGGUUUUAUUAAAAAUAUCCAUAUAUUUUUUUUUAUGUUUUGUAAUUUACAUAUAUAGUAGAAUAUAUUAUUUUAUAAUAUAAUUUUUUAAUAAUAUAUUUUUAUUUUGUACAUAAUACUAUAUUAAUUUUUUUAUAAAUUGAUGCAGUUUGAUGUAAUUAUACUAUUUAUCUGUUGUUAUUUUUGUUAAUUUAUUUUAAAAUGAAACAACAUACUAAAAAUAAUAAUUGUUUGCAUUAGUUUUCUAUGAAUUAUUAUUAAUUUUAUGAUAUUUUGUUUUCUUGAAAAUUUGAACUCUCUAAAUUUUUAUAUUUGACUAAAUUAAAUAAGGUAAUAUUGUACUUAAAAGUUGUUUUAUAUAAUAUAUACUAUAUAUAUUAGUUUGUGUUUUUAAUUUCACCACAAAGAAACAACAAUCAUUAUAAUUAAUUAAUUUAAAUUUAUUUUAAAUGUAGUGGUAGAAUCUGUAAAUAAAAAGAAAUAUAAAAGAAAGUAGUUAAUUUAUUGUAAAUGCAAUGGUUAAAUGUGUAAAUAAAAGAAAAUAUUUAAUCUGCUAUCCAUGUUUUCAAACAAUUUUCAUUUAUUCUACUAUCCAUUUUUGUAUUUUUUUUCAGUUCGAUUCGCGGUUCCGAAAAAAUGUUCCCAACCUAUACAUUAUCUCAUAGAGAAAUUAGUAAAUAUUUAAACUGAAAAUCCCAAUUUAUCCGAUAUUUUAUUUUGUCUAUAAAUCUGUAACCCCCCAAAAAUCUAGAAUCAAACCAAAAUUUAAUUGGACCCCAUUUUGUUUUUUUUUGCAUAUUAGUCGGUCCUCAACUUUUCUAUUGAACUGAACCAAAAACCGAAAUAAUCUAACUGAAACCAAACCAAACCAAACCAAACCAGACAUUGUAAAUACAUGAACGUUUCUAGAACCAAAACACCAAAAAAGAAAAAACAGAAUCUGAAGACUGAUAGUGCAUCUACAAUUAAAUUGCGAAAAAACAUUCUAACUUUAUAAAUUAUUUAACUCUUUUUAGUGGAGUACAUAUGUGGUUUAUAAAUGAAUUAAGAUGUGAGCAAUGUUUUUAUAUCCGAUCCAAACUUGUGGUCGAACUCGUUAACUCAGUGGCCAUAAAUCAUCCGGACUGGCUUAUGUUCUUCAUGUACCAUUCUAUUAUAGGUUCUACCAACUGAUAUGUUUCCAUAAAAUUCAGAUUUAUGAAUAACUAUUAAUUGUAGUCUGAUAAAACCCAUAAACUCGUCAUUUACCUAUGAACCAACAUCGGUUGAUUAAGAAAAAAACCUAGGAAAAUCUUAUAAUAUUUUUUACAAAAUUAACUAACUACUCAUAUACUUUAUAAUAGUAUUUAAAACUGAAUAAAUUAUUUAAUUUUUCAUAUAAAUAAAUGUAAUGUAUUUAUAUUAUGCAUUUUAAUUUAUAGUUUUUUUAAUGAUCAAUAGUAUUACAAUUUUAAUCAAUUUUUAGUGUGUAUAAUUUAUAUGUUUUAAUAGUAUAGAUAUUUAUAUCAGUUUUGGACUUGCACAUAGACUACUAAUAUAUAGGACAACUGGCUUUCAAAGGUUUCUCGAGAAAAGAAUAGUAGUUUUAGUGAUGCUUAUUUUCUUUGAUAGUUAUUUGUUAUGCAGAUUAUGUAUUGAUCACAAAUCCACAAUCUCCGUAAACUCUAUGAAAAAUAUUCUUCAUAAAUUUUGUUAACAUUAUUACCUAUUUAGAAAAUUAGUUAAGUGUUGUUUUGAACCUUUGAUGAAAUUUACUUAAAUUAAUUAUUUUAAAUAUUUAGUUCGGUUCAAAUCAUGGCAUUAUUAAGUAACACAUAUCUUUGCCCGGUUAGACUUGUUCCUGAAUCCAAAUCUACGUUAAAUAUAGAAAUCUGUUAAUAGAUCUCGUUAGCAAAUGAUAGUACACUAUCUGUAUAUUUAAUAUAGAGAUAAAGAUAUUUUAGAUGUGAACAAAUAUUUUCAAGAUCUGUAUUUAAUAAAUUGUUCACGUAUUAGUGUUUUUAGAAAAAGCUAAUGUGCUAAAUUAAUUGUAACAUGAGUAAACUCAAACGGUAGAUUAUGUAUUACUGAAAUUUAUAUUAUAAGAGACAACUAUAAAAAAAUAUAUACUGUAAUUUAUAAUACAAGAGAAAUUUAUAAAAAAAAAUAGAUUUUAAUUUUAGGUUGAACUAUUAUGAGGUGAAAAUAUAUUAAAAUUUUAUUUAUAACUAAUUUAUAUAUAAAAUACUGUAAGUUAUUUUUUGAAACUAAUUAUAUUUACAACUAUAUUUUUUGAGUGUUUUUAAACAUUUCGUAAAUAUAAUGUGGAGUUCAUCGGUUAUAAUUUAUAACUAGAACUUGAUCCGCACCCCCGUGCGGGUGUUUGAUUUAAUUUGUCUUCAACGUAAACUCAUAAAUCGUUGGUUUUAUUAAAAAUAUCCAUAUAUAUUUUUUUAUGUUUUGUAAUUUACAUAUAUAGUAGAAUAUAUUAUUUUAUAAUAUAAUUUUUUAAUAAUAUAUUUUUAUUUUGUACAUAAUACUAUAUUAAUUUUUUUAUAAAUUGAUGCAGUUUGAUGUAAUUAUACUAUUUAUCUGUUGUUGUUUUUGUUAAUUUAUUUUAAAAUGAAACAACAUACUAAAAAUAAUAAUUGUUUGCAUUAGUUUUCUAUGAAUUAUUAUUAAUUUUAUGAUAUUUUGUUUUAUUGAAAAGUUGAACUCUCUAAAUUUUUAUAUUUGACUAAAUCAAAUAAGGUAAUAUUGUACUUGAAAGUUGUUUUAUAUAAUAUAUACUAUAUAUAUUAGUUUGUGUUUUUAAUUUCACCACAAAGAAACAACAAUCAUCAUAAUUAAUUAAUUUAAAUUUAUUUUAAAUGUAGUGGUAGAAUCUGUAAAUAAAAAGAAAUAUAAAAGAAAGUAGUUAAUUUAUUGUAAAUGCAAUGGUUAAAUGUGUAAAUAAAAGAAAAUAUUUAAUCUGCUAUCCAUGUUUCCAAACAAUUUUCAUUUAUUCUACUAUCCAUGUUUCCAAAUAUUACCAAAAUGUACUUUAGUUUUAAUAAUAUAGAUGUAGGAAGCGUAAAUAUAACUAUAAAAUGAAUAACAUGAAAUACAAUAAUUUGGCACAUGAUGUAAUGAAAUUUACAUAUCUAAUAUAAUUUGGUUAAGAAGAUAGAAUGAACCGUGAGUUUGGUCAUAAAAGUAAGCCCAUGCGUAAUAAUAUAUUUUGACAGGUGUAUUAGGCAGUUAGAAGAUAUUAAAUUAAAAAUGAAAAGGCACAGUAACUUUUCAUAGGUUGAUUUUUUAAGAAUCUUUUUCUUUUAAUAAUAUAAACUAGAUUUUGAUCCGCGGUUCAAAAACGCGGAUUUUUUUCAUUGUUUUGGUUUUGAUGUUUCAAAGUAUAUUAUUAAGUUACAAAAUUAUAUAAUUUAUUAAAUAGUUUAUUUUAGAAUUUAUACGCACAUUCUUAUGUUACAACGUCAUCAUUGCAUUUUGUGUAUUUAUCAAAUAGUGUUACAUUUGUUGAGUUGAUGAGUCAAAAAAAAUUAUUUGGCAGAUUUUGAGCUAAUCUAAUAGUAUAUAUUUGUAGAAUUUUUAAUAGUUUUAGCGGUGUUUUCAUACAUGACCCAACCCUACAGUAUCAAAAGUAAAUCAGGUGAUUCGUAUAUAAUUCGGUAUGAAUUUUGUUAAAACCUUAAAUAUAGAAAUCUGAUAAAACUCGGUGAAAACGUAAAAAUCUAUAAUUAACCCGCUAUCAAAUAUUGGUUGACCCGAUAAAAUCCCAUAUAAAUCGGAUGAUAUUUUUCAAAAAUUAAUUCAAACUUUUGAAUCAAGCUUUGAAGCGCGGAAUUGAUACUUUUUCAAAAAAGGAAAAUCUUGUUUAACUAAGGUAUUCCAAACCUAGUGAAGAGUUUAUACCAAUCUCAAUGUGUUUUGUCGAUAAACAUAACUUUUCUCUAGAUUUUCAAAUGAGGCCAUAUAUCUUCUAUAUGUAAUAAAAAGUAUAAUUUUAUAAAUAAUUUAUAUGUUGCCUUUUUUUCAAAAAAAAAAUAAUUUAUAUGUUUUAACAUUUCCUAUGAUUUAUGUUUAAAUUUGUGUAUUAAAUUUAUUUUGCUAUUUUAAUUGAACUAUAAUUUUAGAGAUUUUGGAUAAUUUUUACUCAUAUUAUGAGUCUCUUUGUUUAACCUAUUUUAGCUAACUGUUAACAAUUUAUUUUUAUCAAACAAAAUACAUUAAUUUUAUUUAUAAAUAUUCUGACUUGCAAUAUUUUCAAACUAUAAAUCAAAAUUGAUUAUUUCACCUUUAAUAUUUUUAAAUUUUAUAUUUUAAAGUAAAUUAUAUUAUAAAUAUAUGAAUAUGUGUUAUGAUGUAUGCAUAAUUAUUUUAAAAUAGAUCACGAAUGAUAUAUAUCAUGUACAACCGUUUACACACGUUGAAAACCAGAAAUAUAGAACUUACAUUAAUUCUUACAAAAUUGUAAUAAAUUAUAUUCAUAUUUUAGAUUAUAAGAUACUGUAUAAAAAUAUAAGUAUGUGUUGUCAAUAAAAAAAACUUAUAUAAUCAGCGAUAUGGGCAACAGUUCAACCAUGUAUAUAAUUUUUAAGGGAAUAUAUAUAUAUAUAUAUAUAUAUAUAUAUAUAUAAUUUUAGUACAUUUAAUUACGUAAGAAAUGAAUGUAUGAGUACCAAUAGGGUGAUACAAUUCAGAAUAUUUUCCUUAGCUAAAAUCUCUUCAAAAUCUAUUCUAAUAUAUAGUAUUUAUGAUUGAUAUAAAUUUGAAUAUUUAUAUUCUUAAUGUUGGUAGGAUAUAUUUAUUAACAGUAAAUAGGUAUAUUUGGUAAGUUGCUAGACAGAAGAAUAAUUGUGUAAAUCUCGUCUAAAUUUUAAAAUGUUUUGCGUGAACCAUAUCAACAUGAUACAAAAUCAAUUUGGUAGAUUAAUUGUAAAAAAAAGCUAAUAGUCAUGAAAAUAUAUGUUUUUGCAUUUAAUUAUAUAUUUUUAUUUUAAAUUAAAAUUCAUUUGGAAGAAUUUAAUAAUUUGUGAGAACUAUUAAAUAUAUCAUAUAAUAUUUCAUGAAUCUGACAAUAUAUAGAUUUAUUAAGUUUAAAAAAAUUAUAGUUUUGAGAUUACAUAUAAUCUAUAUAGGGUUUAAGUGUUUUUGGUAUUGGGUUUAGUUUUUAUUAAAAACUUAAGAAGAUGGUGAGAUAAAAAUAAUAAUGAAAACAGUGUUCAGUUAUCUAUUCAUGUAGCCUACGAAAAUACAAAGUAAACCAAAAUAUUGAUUUAAUUCUUAUAGUCCAAAAUGAAUCUUGAGUUAGCUGUGCACCUUGUGGUAUGUAUCGAAAGUAAUAAUAGUCGAUGUGCUAUGUAACACUAAUGGUUUUUAUGUGAAUAAGUCAAAUUUGAAUAAGAGUAUUGACAUAUAUUCAUAUAUGGCUGCAUUCUCCGUUGUCCAUAGUCAAAGAGAAGCAUUAAAUACACGUAUAUGGUUCAGGGGAUAAACGUUGUGAGAAAAUCGGAGCACAAGUGAGCCAAAAACUGAUUGUGGUCCAUGGAAUCAUCUUGCUAUCUUUAACAGCUGCAAAUACAUAUGAUCCACAGUCAUGUGACCACCCUAGUUAGACUCUAGCUCCGCCACUGGUCAGAAGCUAGGGGACGCAGCUUAGUGUUUAGUUUAUAUGGUGGGAUAUAUCUAUUUCAAUCUGAUUCAAAUCCAUUACGGUAAGAUUAAUCUAACUUUUUCAUCAAUUGAUAUAUUUCAUGAUAGUUUUUCCAUCAAUCUUCAUAGGUUUGUGUGAUGAGUUACAAAAUAGGAUUUGGAACAAAGCCAAAGUUUAUCCGUGAGAGACGUCUCAAGUCAGCCAACUCAACCAACCAAAUCCAGUUUAACACACACUGCUAGAUCAAUACAAUCCACCUGCUCAGGGAUCAGGAAAGCUGGUGAACUGAUGGGCAUCGAUAUGCUGCUCUUGGAUGAUCAGGUUCAUUUUUUGGUGUCGAAACACUUGAAUUGGGCUCAAAUCUGAUCAAGAUUAGCGAGAAGAUUGGAGAUUAGUGGAAACUAAAAGAGAAGAAAGGAUAUGUAGGAUUAUCACAAGAUGAUGCUACCAUCAAAUGGCUCUUUGGAAGUGAUAGAAAGCUCUGCUACCACCACCCUUAAUUCGGUGGUGAGUCUAAUGAAAGUUGUUAGAGCACGGUGGAGAAGUGGUGGCAUUGUAUUGGCGAGUGAUGGCCGUAACGGUAGAUUGAAUCACCAGGAAGCGGUGUGCUCAUGGCAUGGCUGUGAUGGUUGUGUGAUUUUCCAAAAAAAUACAGAGGAGACAAAGAAACAGACGCCGAGAAGAGAUGAGUUUUUGCAUCAGCAAUUUUUGUAUUCAGAAGCCAUGGAGGCCAGAUCGAAGGUGUAUAUAAGGACGUGUCGGCAAAGCCAGAAAAAAGUGUUAUUACUUAAUCGACAAGAAGCCUAAAGCCUUAAUGAACUCAAAAAUAUCAGUGUGUGAAAGCAAAUUUGGAAGUGUGCUGGCUAGAGUUAGUAGAAUCAUAUCACGAUCAAGUUAUAUAUGGGUAAGAACGCAUUGCACAGAAUCCAUAUCACUUGAAUUUUUCUCAUUCCAAGUAUUCCAUCCCAAAUUUUAUAUAAAUUACAGAAAGUCACUGUAUUAUUAAUCCCCCCCCCCCCUUUGAGUUUCACAUAAUGAAUAUAACAGCCUCAUCGAAGGGUUUUUCAAGAAAGAUUUCAUGACGGCCCAGAGAAAGAAAAUAGUGACUAAGAUGUCUAUGAAAAGAUAUUAAUGCAAAGAAGACACAUAAAGUGGAAGAUAUUAUAGCUAAUUUUUUUUUGUUCAGACCAAGAUUGCAUAUUUGUAAAUAAUAUAAUUAGAUCGAUAAUUCUAUUUUAUCACUAAACCAAAAAAAAUUAUAGCUUAUCUAUAUAAAUUAUAAAAGAUUGUAUUUAAGAUUGGAGACAAUUAUCCAAUUAUUUCAAAAUUAAAUUAAAAAUUCAGUUGUAAAUUAAAAAAUAUAUAUUCAUAAAAACUUAAACGAACAAGAUAAAAGACUAUUUGAACAUAUGUCAAAUUUAAUUAACUUUUUAUUCAUGUAGCUUGCUUUUUUUUUUUGAAACACAACUUAAUUAAUAUCAUAGGAAGAGUUAGGUGGUGGCCAUUAAGGCUUCACCCUCUACAUGGCCUUGCUUUGCUAGAGCAUCUGCAUCAGCAUUUAAGUCUCUAGGAAUCCAACCAAAGGCGAUUACAUCAAAGUAAACAAAGGAAUCAAAGAUAUCGGCCACAAUGCCAUAAAUUUCUAGGGGGACCUCCCCUCCACUGAGGGCUUUGACGAGUUGCAGCGAAUCCGCCUCACAUACCAGUCGCUUGUGUCCCAAGAUUCGAGCCUCUUGAAUUGCUUGUCUCAUUGCCAUAGCUUCUGCUGUAAGAGCUGAUCCCACCGAGCUACCUGUAGAAAAACUAGCAACAUCAACAUCUUGUCUUUUGAUGGUCCAUCCAAAUCCCGCUUGUUGAGAUGAAGCUCUCCAAGCAGCGUCUGCUCUCAACACAGAACAGUUUUGUGGGAAUAGUUCUCUAAGGUACUUCUUUUGUUGCGGCGUAGCUUUCUUUUCUUGGGCAUCUGUCCAUUCCUUCGCCAUUUUCAGAGCUCUGAUAAUGGUUUCCUCCUCUGCUAUUCAUGUAGCUUGCUUUCUUGAAUAUUAUUUUCAGUUAUGAAAAUUCAAAAAUAUGAAUAUCGAAGUUGGUUCAUCAUAGUAUAACAAAAUCAUUUUUUUUCUUUACCUACCAUUAUGUAUUUACCAUUAUGUAUUGUGUAACCGGUUCCUUGAAUAUUGAAGAUAUAUUUAUAUAAAAUGAAACCAAGAAAAUGAAAAAUUAAAUUUCAAAUUAUAGAAAAUCCCGGGCAUAGCCCGGGCUAACCUCUAGUCUGGACAAUCCGGGCUAACCUCUAGUCUGGAGAAACGCAAAAAGAAUGAUGAAAAGAAAAGCUUAAGUAAUCUUGAUGGGUCGACAAAAGAAAAUGUUGAUGGGUGUCAACCUUUGACACAAGUUAGAAAAUGGUAAUUAAAACCUUAGCCAUAAAGGAAGGGAUAUAAUAUUUAUGAAUGUUGGUGAUAAUUAUCUGAAUGCUAGUGAUAGUUAUGAUAUGUUCUGUUUUCUUUUUCCGUCAGCUGAUUUAUAUUAGAACAUGGAUGAAAUAUUAGACACAAAAUAUCACACAUCGGUAGUUAGAAGCAUGGUCGGGCCUGAGUUUUGUAGGCCUCCAAGCACAUAAUAUAUUUUUGGCCCUUCAGUAACUUAAUUUGGAAAAAAUAACAUUAAAAAUCAUGAUCACAGGUUCGAACCGACGGCCCUUCUACUUCUGAUUUCUUCCAAGACUAGUAGAGCUGCGAUUUUCUGAAAUUAAAUGGCCUUAGUAUAAUUAUAAACUUCACGGCCCCAAGCAUAUGCUUGGUCAGCUUUUACUCAGGCCCGACCCUGGUUAGAAGGGACCUUAAGUAAUAUAUAAGAUUGAUGGACCAAUUCACUUAUCACUAAUUUGUUUUAGGUUGGAAGCACAUCUAGCUUAACAUGGUAUCAGAGCCCGAUCCACGUAGUCCAACCCAAUCACAUCGAUAUGGCCCAAAGUUGGCCCAUCGAUCCUUGUCCGAAAUUGACGCUCAAAGAGCCAUCAUCUCGAGUGGGAGUUUUAGACACAAAGUGCCCCACAUCGGUCUUUGAAAGGGAUUCUAAAUAAUAUAUAAAAUAGAUGGACCAAUCCUCUUAUCACCAAUUGGUUUUAGGUUGGAAGCCCAUCUAGCUUAACAUGGAAUACAUAACCGGAACAAAGUGAAAUUUCUGGAACUUGAACCCAUACGAGGGCAAAUUAAGCCAAAAAAAAGCAAGGUCUUACCUCUACACCCACAUACAUUAAUGUUUAAAGGCCAAAGAUAAAUAGUUAAGAGCCUAAAACAAUCGGAUAACUUGCGAAGAACAACACUCAGACAAGUGAGCAAGCGACGUGAAGGACAUAAAAGACCGAAACUUAUCUGAACCUCCAAUCACGAUGAAGAUCUGAAGAGCCAGAACCACGCAAAUUAGCAUCACACCCGAGACAAACCCCUCCACAACCGCAUCUUCAUCCAGUUGAACCAACACCUCGACCUCUAUAUAUUGUUUCAAACAUCCAAGACAAAGCCACUGAGGAAUUAAGGGAGAAGCAAGUAAACCAGGAACGACCCUUAUUGAAAGAUGCGACGAGGACUCCUUCGUGAUAGGAAAUGAAGAGGUGACUUAACAAACUUCAUCACAACAAAGAUGCUAACCCUGUUCUGCUCACGAACACACCAAGACGCCACCGCAGACACCGUCAAGACUAACUAGAAGUAUUUCUGAGCCAAACAAUGCUAAAGUGGGGACAUGCUCUCAACUUCACACAGAAGAAACAAUUAUAGGAAAAAUUGGUAUAUAAAAAGACCACAUGCCAAACAAAGAAACCGACAAAAUCUAACAUUGCAGACAGCGACAAGAUCGACCAUCUCCAUAACAAUAAGAUCAGGAAUAGGCUUCCACGCGUCCCCAACACGCCAAAAUUAGUGAAAAUCCAGAACCAGAUCUAGGAGAAAGGUAACAUAUUUUCCAUAGUCAUCUCCGGUAACAAACAGAAAGCUAACCCUACAUCCAGAUCCAUCAACACUAAAGUCAUUAGAUCCAGAUCCAUGAAUGACAAAUCCAGUUCAUAAACCGUUCUGAGAGGACACAAAGAGAACCUUGCAAGAUAUCAAAAGACACAAACUAGCUAAGAAAUCUCCCACGGUGCCGACGACAAAGCGCCGGACACCAUGGAAAUUGAAACCAUAGCAAACUCUUAGGAAGUCUUCUACGUCAAUGUUUAAUAAACUUUCAUUUUCUCUACAAUUAAAAUUAUUUUUUAAUAUUUUAUUAUUAAUUAAUGUGUAUUAGUCAAUAUUGGAGCUCUUGGAUGAAAUUCAAAACUUAUUUGGUGAUAAUUAUGAGAUUUCAAAUAUUUAUGUUUACUAAUGUUUCUAGCUAAUCCGAAAAGACUUCUAAGAAAAGACUUUAGAAGUCUUCUACGUUAGAUUUUCAAGAAGUGUAAAGUAACUUCAAGGUAUAUUUUUAACUUUCAAAAGUUUUAAGUAGCUUCAAGAAUAUAAAGUCAUAUGGUUUAUGUGUAUUUUUGGAUCAUAAGAUAUAAUUUUAACUUACAUGAGAUUUUAAAUUUCAACUUUCACUUAAAAUUCAUGUUUGAUCUUUUGUGAAUUUGACU